rnacentral:rRNA from 1 species
GCGUGAAUGAAGAAGGCCUUAGGGUUGUAAAGUUCUUUCGUUGGUGAAGAUAAUGACGGUAACCAAAGAAGAAGCCCCGGCUAAUUUCGUGCCAGCAGCCGCGGUAAUACGAAAGGGGCUAGCGUUGUUCGGAAUUACUGGGCGUAAAGCGCACGUAGGCGGCAAUGUAAGUUGGGGGUGAAAUCCCGGAGCUCAACUCCGGAACUGCCUCCAAAACUACAUAGCUUGAGGAUGUGAGAGGAUAGUGGAAUUCCGAGUGUAGAGGUGAAAUUCGU